GACGUAGCCGCCACGAAGGCGCUAAGACGGAAAACGCUCUUAGCUAAGAGGAAAAACCUUCAAGAAAACAAGAUAAACCUUACAUGAAGCUGCUGAGCAUUUGUUUCGUAUCGUCAUUGACUCUCGAGUUGGCAAAGCUGAUGCAGGAGCAGUAUAGCACAACCCAAGCACACCACUUCAACUGCAAAUGACAGCCCUGAGGUUACCUGAGGUUUCAAUCAACUUGCCUAAAAGGUCAACACUUCAAAAACGAAGGGUGAACAGGAGCACUGUCCAGAGCGAACGAUGCACUAGAACCCCUACCCCAGCCAGGAACCAGGAGAUAUGGAUCUACACAUGGCCCAAAGCUGGAUCCGAAGAACUCAACUGAAGCAGACUGAGGCUAAAAUACUGCACUGCCAGCUAUCAAAGAUUGAUCUACCUUCCCUUCCCGCCCAACCACUUGGGCUAGACAGUAGAGCGAAGGCCCAUUUUUUUGCAAGCCGGUUUUCAAUCCCCGACUGUCCAAGUAGUUGGGCACAAUUUCGUCCCCAUGUCCCAUCAAAAAUCCUUAUAUUGAUCCCUUCCAAAUGCUAUAUAGUUAUAAUGAUUUAGUGAUUUCUCCUAAUAAUUCCCUUCCCUUCCCUUUCCCUCCAGAAAGUAGAAAGGGUGUAAAAAGAGAGGCAAACCGCAAGGAAUACAACUAAGAAGAUUCCUGAUGAUCUAGAACUGCACGCUGGAAAGCACGACAGGCCACAUAUAGUGUAAAUAUGCAA
rnacentral:lncRNA from 1 species